rnacentral:pre_miRNA from 1 species
CAUAUACUUCCUCCGUCUGAAAAUAUUUGUCAUCAAAAUGGAUAAAAAGAGAUGUAUCUAGAACUUCUAGAUACAUCUCUUUUAUCCAUUUUGAUGACAAGUAUUUCCGGACGGAGGGAGUACAUA